UACGUAGGCAGCAAGCGUUGUUCGGAGUUACUGGGCGUAAAGAGUGCGCAGGCGGUCCUGUAAGUUUGGUGUGAAAUCUCCCGGCUCAACUGGGAGGGUGCGCCGAAGACUGCAGGGCUUGAGUAUGGGAGAGGUAAGCGGAAUUCCUGGUGUAGCGGUGAAAUGCGUAGAUAUCAGGAGGAACACCUGUGGUGUAGACAGCUUACUGGACCAUAACUGACGCUGAGGCACGAAAGCGUGGGUAGCAAACAGG
rnacentral:rRNA from 1 species